UACGAGGGGGGCGAGCGUUGUUCGGAAUUAUUGGGCGUAAAGAGCUCGUAGGCGGUUUGUCGCGUCUGCUGUGAAAACCCGAGGCUCAACCUCGGGCCUGCAGUGGGUACGGGCAGACUAGAGUGCGGUAGGGGAGAUUGGAAUUCCUGGUGUAGCGGUGGAAUGCGCAGAUAGUCAGGAGGAACACCAAUGGGCGAAGGCAGAUCUCUGGGCCGUAACUGACGCUGAGGAGCGAAAGCAUGGGGAGCGAACAGG
rnacentral:rRNA from 1 species